GUUGUUUCUGGAAUACAUCAUAUUCAUUUGCAGAAACCCCGUGUAUGGAUCUUCAACACUUUUUUUUUUGGCUUCUUUUCCUAGGUACCUAAAAUAAUUGCUUCUUAAGACAGUCUUACGAUCAAAUAACUUGUUGGGAAAAGCAUACCAUGGCUCACAAUCUGAAUUAAACUUUGUCAUUGUGGUGUAGAAGAAGGUGCGUGCUCAGGAGCUGUUAUCUGACUGGGCUGCUGAAGACAGCAAGUCACUGACAGAGGAGCAGGAAUUAUCAGAAGAGAAGAAUCUGCCACCCUGUUUCUUUUGUGCUAAUCACCAACUGCUGGAGACCAGGCCAAAGAGAGGCAAGAGAAGCAUGUCUCAUGGAAGCAUGUGCUUAAGCAUGAAGAUGAAUGAAGCUUUCACGGGGAAGGAGUCGGUGCCGGACCCAAAGGCAAGCAGCAAUAUCAUACGCUUCCUGCAGUUUUUAGUCUGGGAUGCAGAAUCUGAGCGAGGAUGUCUCCUGACCCAUGUGCACAGAUGAUGAGCAAUUUUCCUUUCUGUGCAGAAGAAAUUGUCCUGAAAGCAUGCCAGAGACCUUAGUAAUAGCCAUUCAAAUCAGCUGUGGCUACACUGUGCCCAUGCCUAUCCAUCAUGCUUCCCAGAUAUUUUGAUAAACUCAAAGAGAGCUAUUGAGAUAGAGUUUAAAGGGAAAAGCUUUGUGGUGGACAACUUGAAAUUAACAGGCUAUUCUUGCUGUGCAGGGCAGUGACUUGCUGAAGAUGGAGCCUGCACAUCAUGGGAGAGGAACGUAAAGAUUCUGCCAGGUUGUAAUGCAACAUACCGGCUAUUUUGACUUGGUUGCCUUCUAAUCAAACCGGAGGUGUUUAGCUAGAAACUCCUUUCCCUGUUAUUUCAAACAUAGCCCAAGCGUGGUUCUGGCAUCUGCUGAGGACAGGUUGGGCAUGGAUGGCAGAGAGUGCACCCUGCCUCAGUUUGUUGUGUUCCUUCAUUAUCUACCCAUUCUAAUGGAAAUCUGCUGAACAUCGUGGACACAGAGAGUGGAACAUCAGGUGUUCACAGCUUCCUGUUCUGAAGCGAAGGUGCUGGGACCACUUUGUCUUCAGGUGAGAUUAAAGUGGGUUAUCUCACCUGACUUCCCAAUUGUGCUGUUAUGCUGGAUGGUUGUUUCUAUAGAGACUUGGUGUUCCUGGUGUUACUGGCACUUGAACUACAGGUUCACACUAUAUAGUUGUGAUAAACAGCCUAUUUGCUGUUC